GAACGCACAUUGCGCCCUUUGGUAUUCCUUAGGGCAUGCCUGUUCGAGCGUCGCAAAAACCCAGAUCACCUAGAGUGUGGUAUUGGCAGAAGUGGUCGGGGCUAUCAGGGCUGCUGCCACUCUGCUGGAAUGAAUAGGCUGGAAAAGUAGAUCAUAGCAACAGACUUUCACAGUAUUUUGAAAUGCUAAAUUAGUUUGAAGCUGAUCGGAACCUAAGCCAUUUGACCCCCAUCCUGCGUAAAGCAGUAAGGUUGACCUCGGAUCAGGUAGGGAUACCCGCUGAACUUAAG
rnacentral:misc_RNA from 1 species